CGCACUCUUGGCUCUGGCGGUGACCUUGAUUGGCGGAAAUCCUAUCAAUGAAACGACAUCGAGCGAAGAAAUCAGCGAAGGCCCUCAGCCGGUGACAGAAGGAGGCCCCACGACCUCGACAUCCUCAAAGCCGUUCGAGAAGGAUUUUAAAGAAAUGAAGAAAAAAGGAGAUAAGUGGUUAAUGCCCAGCGCACCUACGGGAAGUGGAGACCUAAAGGACCUUUUGGAUAUUACGGUUUCUUUGAGGGUGAUAAAAAGUUCUUGGGCAAGCUUUGCAAGAAGAAGCGGAGAGAGACGCAGCCAUGGCAAGCGUCCCCAAUGCUUCAGCUGCCGAUCCAAGAGCUCUACAGCACGUGUUUCCAGCUGGGAUGAACUUCCGACAGCUGCUAACGGUGCCAUGGCGACACCUUUUGUGCGCUGAUUGACAGGCAGAAAGAUUCUCACGAGAUUAUAUGGCUUGGCAGUUAGGAGUUUUUUUUUUUUCUUUUUUUUGUGAGGACUUAAUAGUUUAAAGGAGUUUGAUAGUCAAAGGGGAUAUUAAAUGUUUUUGGUGUGAUGAGAUUUUAAUGUAUAUGCUUGACUUUAACGGAAGUUGUUUCUUGUGCAAUAAAGAAGGAUUAAUGUAUUUUUUAUGUAAUAAUAGCCGAGCUCGCAAUUAA